CGAGCGGCGGACGGGUGAGUAACACGUGGGUAACCUGCCCAAGAGACUGGGAUAACACCUGGAAACAGAUGCUAAUACCGGAUAACAACACUAGACGCAUGUCUAGAGUUUGAAAGAUGGUUCUGCUAUCACUCUUGGAUGGACCUGCGGUGCAUUAGCUAGUUGGUAAGGUAACGGCUUACCAAGGCAAUGAUGCAUAGCCGAGUUGAGAGACUGAUCGGCCACAUUGGGACUGAGACACGGCCCAAACUCCUACGGGAGGCAGCAGUAGGGAAUCUUCCACAAUGGACGAAAGUCUGAUGGAGCAACGCCGCGUGAGUGAAGAAGGGUUUCGGCUCGUAAAGCUCUGUUGGUAGUGAAGAAAGAUAGAGGUAGUAACUGGCCUUUAUUUGACGGUAAUUACUUAGAAAGUCACGGCUAACUACGUGCCAGCAGCCGCGGUAAUACGUAGGUGGCAAGCGUUGUCCGGAUUUAUUGGGCGUAAAGCGAGUGCAGGCGGUUCAAUAAGUCUGAUGUGAAAGCCUUCGGCUCAACCGGAGAAUUGCAUCAGAAACUGUUGAACUUGAGUGCAGAAGAGGAGAGUGGAACUCCAUGUGUAGCGGUGGAAUGCGUAGAUAUAUGGAAGAACACCAGUGGCGAAGGCGGCUCUCUGGUCUGCAACUGACGCUGAGGCUCGAAAGCAUGGGUAGCGAAC
rnacentral:rRNA from 1 species